UCCCAUUGGAAAUGGGCAAAGAGACACCUUGUUGGUGGUGGUGUUCUUUUAUUAGUCAGGGGCAGUGAAGAUAGCAGUUCAUUCUAGCUUUAUUCCUUGCUUGGUGGACUAAGUUGUUUUAUGCCUAGGACACAUAA